rnacentral:rRNA from 1 species
CUACGUGCCAGCAGCCGCGGUAAUACGUAGGUGGCAAGCGUUGUCCGGAUUUAUUGGGCGUAAAGCGAGCGCAGGCGGUUCCUUAAGUCUGAUGUGAAAGCCCCCGGCUCAACCGGGGAGGGUCAUUGGAAACUGGGGAACUUGAGUGCAGAAGAGGAGAGUGGAAUUCCAUGUGUAGCGGUGAAAUGCGUAGAUAUAUGGAGGAACACCAGUGGCGAAGGCGACUCUCUGGUCUGUAACUGACGCUGAGGCUCGAAAGCGUGGGUAGCAAACAGGAUUAGAUACCCUGGUAGUCCACGCCGUAAACGAUGAGUGCUAAGUGUUGGAGGGUUUCCGCCCUUCAGUGCUGCAGUUAACGCAUUAAGCACUCCGCCUGGGGAGUACGACCGCAAGGUUGAAACUCAAAGGAAUUGACGGGGGCCCGCACAAGCGGUGGAGCAUGUGGUUUAAUUCGAAGCAACGCGAAGAACCUUACCAGGUCUUGACAU